GAUGAACGCUGGCGGCGUGCCUAACACAUGCAAGUCGAGCGAUUUACUUCGGUAAAGAGCGGCGGACGGGUGAGUAACGCGUGGGUAACCUGCCCUGUACACACGGAUAACAUACCGAAAGGUAUGCUAAUACGAGAUAAUAUACUUUUAUCGCAUGGCAGAAGUAUCAAAGCUCCGGCGGUACAGGAUGGACCCGCGUCUGAUUAGCUAGUUGGUAAGGUAACGGCUUACCAAGGCGACGAUCAGUAGCCGACCUGAGAGGGUGAUCGGCCACAUUGGAACUGAGAACGGUCCAAACUCCUACGGGAGGCAGCAGUGGGGAAUAUUGCACAAUGGGCGAAAGCCUGAUGCAGCAACGCCGCGUGAGCGAUGAAGGCCUUCGGGUCGUAAAGCUCUGUCCUCAAGGAAGAUAAUGACGGUACUUGAGGAGGAAGCCCCGGCUAACUACGUGCCAGCCGCCGCAGUAACAC
rnacentral:rRNA from 1 species